GGAGUCUGUAAUGUGACCGUGAUAACGACAGUGAGGGGAGGCUGCAGGAGUCUGUAAUGUGACCGUGAUAACGACAGUGAGGGGAAACUGCAGGACUCUGUAAUGUGAUGUGACCGUGAUAACGACAGUGAGGGGAGGCUGCAGGAGUCUGUGACCGUGAUAACGACAGUGAGGGGAGGCUGCAGGAGUCUGUAAUGUGACCGUGAUAACGACAGUGAGGGGAAACUGCAGGACUCUGUAAUGUGACCGUGAUAACGACAGUGAGGGGAGGCUGCAGGAGUCUGUAAUGUGAUAUGACCGUGAUAACGACAGUGAGGGGAGGCUGCAGGAGUCUGUAAUGUGACGGUGAUAACGACAGUGAGGGGAGGCUGCAGGAGUCUGUAAUGUGACCGUGAUAACUGCAGUGAGGGGAGGCUGCAGGAGUCUGUAAUGUGACCAUGAUAACUGCAGUGAGGGAGGCUGCAGGAGUCUGUAAUGUGACCAUGAUAACUGCAGUGAGGGGAGGCUGCAGGAGUCUGUAAUGUGACCAUGAUAACUGCAGUGAGGGGAGGCUGCAGGAGUCUGUAAUGUGACCGUGAUAACUGCAGCACUACACGUAAUGAGGAUUCUCUAAAUAAAG
ensembl:lncRNA